GCGGUGGAGCAGUGUGGUUUAAUUCGAAGCAACGCGAAGAACCUUACCAGGUCUUGACAUCCCUGACAACCCGAGAGAUCGGGCGUUCCCCUUCGGGGGACAGGGUGACAGGUGGUGCAUGGUUGUCGUCAGCUCGUGUCGUGAGAUGUUGGGUUAAGUCCCGCAACGAGCGCAACCCUCGACCUUAGUUGCCAGCAUUCAGUUGGGCACUCUAAGGUGACUGCCGGCUAAAAGUCGGAGGAAGGUGGGGAUGACGUCAAAUCAUCAUGCCCCUUAUGACCUGGGCUACACACGUGCUACAAUGGGCGGUACAAAGGGUCGCGAACCCGCGAGGGGGAGCCAAUCCCAAAAAGCCGCUCUCAGUUCGGAUUGCAGGCUGCAACUCGCCUGCAUGAAGCCGGAAUCGCUAGUAAUCGCGGAUCAGCAUGCCGCGGUGAAUACGUUCCCGGGCCUU
rnacentral:rRNA from 1 species